UACGAAGGUCCCAAGCGUUAUCCAGAUUUAUUGGGUUUAAAGGGUGCGUAGGCGGCUUAUUAAGUCAGUGGUGAAAGCUCUAUGCUUAACAUGGAAAUUGCCAUUGAUACUGAUGAGCUUGAGUAUAUUUGAAGUGGGCGGAAUGUGUCGUGUAGCGGUGAAAUGCUUAGAUAUGACACAGAACACCGAUUGCGUAGGCAGCUCACUAAACUAUAACUGACGCUGAGGCACGAAAGCAUGGGGAUCAAACAGG
rnacentral:rRNA from 1 species